UAGUGGCAGAUACUGUUUGGUUGGAAAACUUGGACACAUCUCUGACAUAGUGAAGAUUGUGCAUGACCAUUACCCUACAUUGCGCCUUCCUGAAAGAUGUGAAUACAGCAAGCCUUUUGUGCCAGAAUAUGAGGUUUCCAAGGAGAAAGCUAAAGCUUUGGGCAUAGACUUCACUCCUUUAGAGACUACUGUGAAGGACACCAUUGAAAGCUUGAAGGAGAAAGGGUAUCUUGAUGUCUGAAUAUUGUGAAUUUUUUCUUUCUUUUUUGGUACUUUUUUCUGCAGUUUACACAUACCGAGAUUAAAUCUUCAGAAUAAUGUGAUUUAUUCUGCCUUCCAAAUGCAAUAAUAGUAAAUUACAAGAUGUCUGUAGAUUGGAAUUCUA
rnacentral:misc_RNA from 1 species